CUGGGAGGCAGGCACGGGACAGCAGCACGGGUUUGCCAGGAAUCAUUUUCCUUUCUACCACCCCAGCCUUGGAAAAACCAAGAAAAGGGGAUGACCCCCUCCCCCAGCCCACCAUCAUUCCCUGCAAGUCUGUGGAUGAAGUCCCUUAUGGAUCCCUAAAAGCUUCAAUUCCACAUAUCCUGUGAUCUCCAGGUGUGAGGAGCAGGCAGGAAUGAUGGGUCCUUGGAGGUGGUGGCCCACACCUGCCCACAGCCAGGCAGAAACUGGAGUGGUGGGAAUGCAUUCUAAGAAAAGGGGCCAACGUAUGCAGAGGCUGUGAUGCAGGAGCAGACAGAAUCUCUCAAGCUUGUGACUUCAGUGUGCUCCAACAAGUCCCGCGGAUGGAG
rnacentral:lncRNA from 1 species